UAGCAGCGGGAACAGUACUGCAGUGGGCAAUUGGUGAUCUGGAGUAUUGUUUCUGCUGCCCGG
rnacentral:pre_miRNA from 1 species